GACGAACGCUGGCGGCGCGCUUAACACAUGCAAGUCGAACGGAAAGGCCUGCUUUCCCUUGUGGAUUGCGGGUACUCGAGUGGCGAACGGGUGAGUAACACGUGAGUGAUCUGCCCCCAACUUGGGUAUAAGCCUGGGAAACUGGGUCUAAUUCCCGAUAGGACUGCAGGGUGGUGCCUGUGGUGGAAAACGAUUUUCUAGUGGUUGGGGAUGAGCUCGCGGCCUAUCAGCUUGUUGGUGGGGUAAUGGCCUACCAAGGCGGCGACGGGUAGCCGGCCUGAGAGGGUGGACGGCCACAGUGGGACUGAGAUACGGCCCAGACUCCGACGGGAGGCAGCAGUGGGGAAUAGUGCACAAUGGGCGGAAGCCUGAUGCAGCGACGCCGCGUGGGGGAUGACGGCCUUCGGGUUGUAAACUCCUUUCGACCGCGAGGAAGCCACCUGGUUGGAAGGGUGGUGACGGUAGUGGUAGAAGAAGCACCGGCUAACUACGUG
rnacentral:rRNA from 1 species